CCAAGCCCUUUGUCUCUUUUCUACUGUGUUCUGAACUGAUUCUCAAGGUAUCGCCACCGUUUUUUUUGUUGUUGCUUUUUUUUUUUAAGGAAACUCUAGAUAAGACUUGCAUGCUUGCCAAAGCCACAGUGGUGUUGUGACUUGUCAGUGCUUACUAUGAGGAAGACAAAGCAGAAAAAUUAGUAAAGUCACCCACAGGGAAAUCUACGCAGAUGUAUUCAUCUUGAGCCAAAUGCUGCUGCUGGGUUCCUGAGGAGUUGAGUGUGAAUUGCAUGAGGGAUGAGCAAAGCGGGAGCUUUUUGAAGGAAAAGACAUGACAAACUGCAAGUCACUGACUUCUUGGGACUCUCAGAAAACUGAGUUUACAAGGUGGACCACCACCCCAAAAUCUGAAGAAAUGAGCACAUCCAGAAAGCAUAUUUGAGAUCUGUUUCACUGAAGGAGAAGACACUAGACUCAUAAACCAGUGCUUUACUGAGUGCAUGGAAGAAGCACACUGAAGACUGAGACCAAAGCAAGAACUGAAGGAGCUUCCCUCUGAGACAAGUUUCAGGCGGAAACCAGUUGAAGACUAGGGGCAAGAAAGGGGAUCUCAAAGAAUGCUCCUGCAAUAUUUCAGACCUCAAACAAUGUAAAGCAAUGAUACUAGAGUCCUGUAAUUCAGAGAAAUUAGGUGAUACACAUUCUUUUCCAUUAUACUUUAGAACAUUCACAAGUAGACCAUGUACUAGGUAAUAAAAUAUCUCAAAAAUGUUGAAAGGAUAAAGAUAACAUGGAGUAUGUUUUCUGACCACAGUGGUGUUAGAUCAAUAGUUAGAAACUCUUAGGAUAUUUAGAAAAUCCCAAGCAUGUGGAAAUUAAACCCUAUAAAAUAUACAGAUCAAAGAAGAAAUCACAGAGUAAAUAAGAACUAUUUUUAAUUAUGAAUUCAAGGAAACAGAACCUAUUAAACUUUAGAGUUGGCAGCUAUGAUAGUGUUUGAGAGAUAUUUGUAGUUCCAAAUGCCUAUAUUAGUAAAGAAGAAAAGUAUAAAACCAGUGGCCUAAACUUCUAAGAAGAUAUGAAAGAAUUACAAGUUAAACCUAUGACAUCAUACAUUUUUCAAGUGCUGUUAAUCCAAAUUUAUCUCCAGAAAAAGAAAUUCUUCUGUAGAAAUCAAGACAUUUACAGAUGAAAAGAAAUAAUAAGAGAUUAUGUUACAACAUAUCUACCAUCAGAAUAACUAAAGGAAGUUUUCUAAACAGAAAGAAUAUAGCAAAAGAAGGAAACUUGGAACAUUAGAAAUAACAAUGAAAAUAGUGAAAUAAAUAAUAAAUAGGGUAUCGGCACUAGAUUUUCCUUCUCUCAGAUUUUGUAAGUUAUAUUUUAUGAUCAUGUAUGUAACAUUUUUCUCUGGCUGCUUUUAAGAUUUUUUUUCUUUGUUUUUUUGAACAUUCUGAUUACAAUAUGCCUGAAUGACACUUUGGCAUAUUUCUUUUGAUGAGAUUUUACUGAGUUCCUUAGAUCUGUUGGCUUAUAGUUUUCAUUGAAUUUAGAAAAAAUAUCUAUUAUUUUAAAAAUAGCUUAUUGGCCCCCAUCUCAUCUCUAGCCUUCCCUUAUGGGACUCCAACUUCACAUAUAUUAGGCCACUGAAGUGCACAUGUCUUCCCUCUCACUGAUGCGCCUUUCUUUAAUUCUGUUUUCUAAUUUCUUUUUUUUUUUUUUUUUUUUUUUGGUAUUUCAUUUUGGGUUAUUUCUAUUGUUAUGUCUUUUAACUUCCUAAUAGUUCAUUUCUAUGAUGUUAAUUCUUACCAUUAUUUCUAUUAGUAUAUUUUUCAGUUCACAAUUUUGGUCUUUAUCCCUCAAAUGUGUUUUCAUAUCUAUGUCUUUGGUUAACUUUCUCACAGUACUUAAUACAAUUAUAACUUUUAAUAUCCUGAUCUUCUAAUUCUAACAUCUAAGUUACUUCUGGAGUGGUGUUGACUGAUCGAUUGCUCUCAUUGUGGGUUCUGUUUUCUUUUUUGUUUGUUUCCUUACUGAGUACGGUUUUAAUGAAAAAAUGGUGCUUUAUUUUGUAAUACUGUACAGAAUUAUUGGAAUCUACUUUGAACAAUGUAAAAAGUUAUUUCAUCCAUCACCUACAAAAUGAUACUCAUUGAUGAGCAUAUUAAAAAAAAAAGCACAAAAAAGCUAUGAGACAAGAAUUGCCCCAUCUCUGAUGGUCUGGUCACCUAUGAAUCCUGGUGAAUGAUUCUGUUGUAGUUUGUGGUGGGUUUUAAUUUUAUUGUAGAUUCCAAAUCAGAAAGUUCUAGAGCACUUUAUUAUUUUGGGGUAUUUCUGGAUCAGGGAUUGAACCCAUGCAUUCUGCAUCGGGGAAGCCACUGAGCUACUGGGGAAGCCCUAGAGCACUUUAAUGUGAAGCCAUGUCUUCAUAUAUUAUCAAAUGAGUCUAAGUCCCAGAAGGAAUCUUAGAGAUGAUAGCAUUGUCUCUCGUAUGUACUUAAAAGGAAACUGAGGCUUGUUUUGAUGAAGUGACUUAUCACAGGUUCCAGUGCUCUGUAUUAGGAUCAAAAUUAAGAACUUUAUAGUCUUUACAAUUAGUAAAAGUAAUCGGAAAGAAUGAAUAAAUUCUUUUAAAAAUGAGUAUGAUGCUUAGUAUUAUGAAUUUCUUAUAAAAAUUAAUAAAACGUAAACGAGUUUAUACAAAUACAAGAAUGCAUUCCAUGUGUGUUUUAAUUACUCUAAAUAUCAAUUUUUUUUCUUUCUUUUUUUUUAAAUAUCAAUUUUUAAUUAGGGUGAAAUGACAUACUUACAAUAUGUCAUUUAUUCCAAAUUAAAUAUUGCAUCAUAAAAUAAUGCAUGAGAAAUUGGCAUCCCUUAGUUGCACUGAAUAUCUUUAAAGACUGAUUUACCUCUUGAAAAUCACACUCAAAGAAUCCCAUUUGAGAAGAUCCUUAUUAAAAUAUUAUUUUUUAUCACAUUCAUUUUCCUCCAAUUUUCAUGUGUAUAUGUUUCUCUAUUUCUCCAGAUACCAAAGUCAGAUAAGACACCACAAAGAAAACUACAGGCCAAUAUCCCUAAUGACUACUGGUGCAAAAAUCCUCAGUGAAAUACUAACAAUCUGAAUCCAACAGAACAUGAAAAGGAUCAUAUCAAGGUCACACCCAUGACCAAGUGGGAUUUACCCUGGGCUGCAAGGAUAGUUAACAUAUGAAAAUCAAUUAAUAUAACAUACCACAUUAAUAAUACAAAGCAAAAAAUUAGCAUAAAGCAUUAAAAUGGCAUGACUGUCUCAACAGAUUUACAAAAAGAAUUUGACAAA